AACGAACGCUGGCGGCAUGCCUAACACAUGCAAGUCGAACGAAGCCUUCGGGCUUAGUGGCUCACGGGUGCGUAACGCGUGGGAAUCUGCCCUUUGGUUCGGAAUAACAGUUGGAAACGACUGCUAAUACCGGAAGAUGACGAAAGUCCAAAGAUUUAUCGCCAGAGGAUGAGCCCGCGUAGGAUUAGCUAGUUGGUGUGGUAAAGGCGCACCAAGGCGACGAUCCUUAGCUGGUCUGAGAGGAUGAUCAGCCACACUGGGACUGAGACACGGCCCAGACUCCUACGGGAGGCAGCAGUGGGGAAUAUUGGACAAUGGGCGAAAGCCUGAUCCAGCAAUGCCGCGUGAGUGAUGAAGGCCCUAGGGUUGUAAAGCUCUUUUACCCGGGAUGAUAAUGACAGUACCGGGAGAAUAAGCCCCGGCUAACUCCGUGCCAGCCGCCGCAGUAA
rnacentral:rRNA from 1 species